GCAGAUGUAGCUCAAUGGUUAGAGUGCUUCCUUGCCAUGGAAGAAGUUGUGAGUUCGAUCCUCAUCAUCUGCUCA
rnacentral:tRNA from 1 species